ensembl:lncRNA
GCCGAGCCGGGACGUCCCGAAGCGCUCCCGGGAGGGGCAGCCCCGGCACCGUCGCCCCGCGCUCGGGAACCGCUGGCCGUGCCCCGGGGCGACAGCCUCUGCCAAAGCCGUAGGGUCUGUGUGCGGAAAGUGCCACGUGUGAGUGUGUCGAUUCAUAAAUGCCUAAAAUGCAAGCUAGUUGAAAACCUAACUUCAGAGGAGCUGGAGCAGAACAGCUAUGAAACAUUCUGCUGCAAUCGUGUCUUUACACCACUGAAAAUAUUGCUAUCCAGUAUCAAAUGAAUACAGUAUAAAUUAGAAAUAUCAGACAUAUACAGCUACAGCCACAAAUCUAGAUGAACGACUGCCAAAUGGCAACAGGUACAUAUUCCUGUCAUUCCAAGAGCUGGAGACACCACACAUCUAAAGCCAAUAUGUAGGCAGUUCAGACUGUAUGGCUUUAGUAGGGUUGUGCUUUCAUGAAACAUACCUCGCUGAGUGACAGCCAGGCACCAGAGGUGGUUACUGUCUUGCAGGAUUGUUGCCAAAACGAUUACAAUAUGAAACUUAAGAAGUCCAAUCCCUAACAGCAGGAGGUAGAACAUACAAACUUCAUCAUCCCAGUUGUCGAGUGACAGUGUUUUAUAAAUGUCAUGAAUAAUGUAUAAAACAACUUAUUUUUUUGUACUGAACAUUUUGAGAGUUCAUGCACUCACACCGGAAGGGCAUGCUUUGGAAUGGGAAUGCGAGACGAGAGGCUAGAAAGAUUCAAAGCUGAACACAGUGCACACAAAGGAAUUUGUGAACCCAGCUCCCUGCUUAAUUACUCAAGAGCUGGUCAGGAGCCAUGCCA